rnacentral:rRNA from 1 species
AUUGAACGCUGGCGGCAUGCCUUACACAUGCAAGUCGAACGGUAACAGGUCUUCGGAUGCUGACGAGUGGCGAACGGGUGAGUAAUACAUCGGAACGUGCCCAGACGUGGGGGGAUAACGAGGCGAAAGCUUUGCUAAUACCGCAUACGAUCUAAGGAUGAAAGCAGGGGACCGCAAGGCCUUGCGCGUUUGGAGCGGCCGAUGGCAGAUUAGGUAGUUGGUGGGAUAAAAGCUUACCAAGCCGACGAUCUGUAGCUGGUCUGAGAGGACGACCAGCCACACUGGGACUGAGACACGGCCCAGACUCCUACGGGAGGCAGCAGUGGGGAAUUUUGGACAAUGGGCGAAAGCCUGAUCCAGCAAUGCCGCGUGCAGGAUGAAGGCC